UUUUUUUUUUUUUUUUUUUUUUUUUUUUAGAAUUCACAUUGCUACUUUCGGGAGAACUGAUUUCCUUACUAUGUUCUUUUUGUGACUGAAAGGUCAUCCUAUUAAUAGAAGGAGUAGUAGCCACUUGUUCUUUCUUUUGCGGUGCUGGGAACUGAACCCAGGGCCUCGCACACGCUAGGCAAGCGCUUUAGGGCUGAGCCACACCUCCAGCCUGGAAGAUCCCUUUUAAUUGCUGGCAAACAGCUUUAAGUGCACUUUCUUUGAUUACACUUCCAUGUUUUUGUUAAACUUGAAUUUUCUGAAGCCUUUUAUGUACCACUAAGCUAAUAACUUUAAUCUUUAAAUAAACCGGGUUUAUAUCCUUAGUUAUAUUUCUAAUUGUUAUAAAACAUGCUUUCUAAAGUAACUUAAGCCCUCAAAUGUAGCUGGGAGACAUUUGAAAUAGAAUUCAGUUGCUUCCCCUGUACCCAGAAAAGCACUAAUUUUAUUACCUUAUUGCCUUUAUAUUGCUUAGUCUUGAAUUCUGUUCACUAUUUUGUUUGAGAUUUAAAGUUAUUUUCUUACUGUAUUUAUCAUACCUACUGUUUUAAUAAUCAGCCUUCUUUAAAUGCAAUAAAUCCCAAAUGGAUUGCUUAUUCUUU
rnacentral:lncRNA from 1 species